AGAGUUUGAUCAUGGCUCAGGACGAACGCUGGCGGCGUGCCUAACACAUGCAAGUCGAACGGAGAAUUUUAUUUCGGUAGAAUUCUUAGUGGCGAACGGGUGAGUAACGCGUAGGCAACCUGCCCUUUAGACGGGGACAACAUUCCGAAAGGAGUGCUAAUACCGGAUGUGAUCAUCGUGCCGCAUGGCAGGAUGAAGAAAGAUGGCCUCUCGAAGCAAGCUAUCGCUAAAGGAUGGGCCUGCGUCUGAUUAGCUAGUUGGUAGUGUAACGGACUACCAAGGCGAUGAUCAGUAGCCGGUCUGAGAGGAUGAACGGCCACAUUGGGACUGAGACACGGCCCAAACUCCUACGGGAGGCAGCA
rnacentral:rRNA from 1 species